rnacentral:rRNA from 1 species
UUUUUAUUAAUUUAAAACUCCCUAUCGACCCCUUUAAUUUUACUGAGAAUUUCUAUAUUAUAUAGAACAUUUUAUGCUAAAACUAGUAACAAGAGAUAAACCUCUCCCAAUGCAAACAUAAGCCAGCAAGAACCCAUCACCGGCAACUAACAGACAAACAAAGUAGCAACAUCACUAGAAAACCCUACUCUAACAACUGUUAACCUAACACCAGAGCAUUUCAAGAAAGAUUAAAAGAAAAAGAAGGAACUCGGCAAACACUAAUCCCGCCUGUUUACCAAAAACAUCGCCUCUUGCCCCUAUAAGAGGUCAAGCCUGCCCAGUGACUUUGUUCAACGGCCGCGGUAUCCUAACCGUGCGAAGGUAGCGUAAUCACUUGUCUUUUAAAUGGAGACUAGUAUGAAAGGCGUCACGAGGAAUAAACUGUCUCCUUUUUCCAAUCAGUGAACCUAAUCUCCCCGUGAAGAAGCGGGAAUUAUCUUAUAAGACGAGAAGACCCUAUGGAGCUUAAAACAUUAUAACAUCUGCCAACCAAUGGCACUUUGAUUUUAUGUUUUCGGUUGGGGUGACCGCGGAGAAAAACUAAUCCUCCACGAUGAUAAGGAAAUCUUUCCUAAACAAUAAGCUACAUCUUUAUGUAUCAAUAAAUUGACAUCCAUUGACCCAAUAAUUUGAUUAACGAACCAAGUUACCCUAGGGAUAACAGCGCAAUCCACUUUAAGAGCCCCUAUCGAC